AAAAAGAGACAGGAGGCGGGGUUAGAGGCUGCUGUGGGUGCUGCACUCUGUGAGAGAGGAGGCGGGGUUAGAGGCUGCUGUGGGUGCUGCACUCUGUGAGAGAGGAGGCGGGGUUAGAGGCUGCUGUGGGUGCUGCACUCUGUGAGAGAAGAGGCGGGGUUAGAGGCUGCUGUGGGUGCUGCACUCUGUGAGAGAAGAGGCGGGGUUAGAGGCUGCUGUGGGUGCUGCACUCUGUGAGAGAGGAGGCGGGGUUAGAGGCUGCUGUGGGUGCUGCACUCUGUGAGAGAAGAGGCGGGGUUAGAGGCUGCUGUGGGUGCUGCACUCUGUGAGAGAAGAGGCGGGGUUAGAGGUUAGAGGCUGCUGUGGGUUCUGCCGUUUAAAUAACAUGCUUCAAGGAAGAGAAAGAAAUAAGUGUUAUCAGACUGUUAGAUACCAAAAUAAGAAAGCAAAUGUUGCUACCAGAAAAGGCCUCAAAU